GAAUCUGCCUUCAGGUCGGGGACAACAGAGGGAAACCUCUGCUAAUACCGGAUGUGCUGAGAAGUGAAAGAUUUAUUGCCUGAAGAGGAGCUCGCGUCUGAUUAGCUAGUUGGUGGGGUAAAGGCCUACCAAGGCAUCGAUCAGUAGCUGGUCUGAGAGGAUGAGCAGCCACACUGGGACUGAGACACGGCCCAGACUCCUACGGGAGGCAGCAGUGGGGAAUUUUCCGCAAUGGGCGAAAGCCUGACGGAGCAAUACCGCGUGAGGGAGGAAGGCUCUUGGGUUGUAAACCUCUUUUCUUAGGGAAGAACAAAAUGACGGUACCUAAGGAAUAAGCAUCGGCUAACUCCGUGCCAGCAGCCGCGGUAAUACGGAGGAUGCAAGCGUUAUCCGGAAUUAUUGGGCGUAAAGCGUCCGCAGGUGGCUUAAAAAGUCUGCUGUCAAAGACCGAAGCUCAACUUCGGGCAGGCAGUGGAAACUAUUAGGCUAGAGGCCGGUAGGGGUAGAGGGAAUUCCCAGUGUAGCGGUGAAAUGCGUAGAGAUUGGGAAGAACACCAGUGGCGAAGGCGCUCUACUGGGCCGGUACUGACACUCANGGACGAAAGCUAGGGGAGCG
rnacentral:rRNA from 1 species